GCCUGGCUGGCUCAGUUGGUAGAGCAUGUGACUCUUGAUCUUAAGGUUGUUAAGUUCAAGUCUCACAUUGGGUG
rnacentral:tRNA from 1 species